rnacentral:rRNA from 1 species
UACGAAGGGGGCUAGCGUUGCUCGGAAUCACUGGGCGUAAAGCGCACGUAGGCGGAUUCCUAAGUCGGGGGUGAAAUCCUGGAGCUCAACUCCAGAACUGCCUUCGAUACUGGCGAUCUUGAGUCCGGAAGAGGUGAGUGGAACUCCUAGUGUAGAGGUGGAAUUCGUAGAUAUUAGGAAGAACACCAGUGGCGAAGGCGGCUCACUGGUCCGGUACUGACGCUGAGGUGCGAAAGCGUGGGGAGCAAACAGG